rnacentral:rRNA from 1 species
GACGAACGCUGGCGGCGUGCCUAAUACAUGCAAGUAGGACGCACAGUCUAUACCGUAGCUUGCUACACCAUAGGCUGUGAGUUGCGAACGGGUGAGUAACGCGUAGGUAACCUGCCUAUUAGAGGGGGAUAACUAUUGGAAACGAUAGCUAAUACCGCAUAACAGUAUGUAACACAUGUUAGAUGCUUGAAAGAUGCAAUUGCAUCGCUAGUAGAUGGACCUGCGUUGUAUUAGCUAGUAGGUAGGGUAAUGGCCUACCUAGGCGACGAUACAUAGCCGACCUGGGAGGGUGAUCGGCCACACUGGGACUGAGACACGGCCCAGACUCCUACGGGAGGCAGCAGUAGGGAAUCUUCGGCAAUGGGGGGAACCCUGACCGAGAAACGCCGCGUGAGUGAAGAAGGUUUUCGGAUCGUAAAGCUCGGUUGUUAAGGAAGAACGAGUGUGAGAAUGGAAAGUUCAUACUGUGACGGUACUUAACCAGAAAGGGACGGCUAACUACGUG